UACGGGGGGAGCAAGCGUUGUUCGGAUUUAUUGGGCGUAAAGAGCUCGUAGGCGGCUCGUUGCGUCGGCUGUGAAAACCCGCAGCUCAACUGUGGGCUUGCAGCCGAUACGGGCGGGCUGGAGUUCGGUAGGGGAGACUGGAAUUCCUGGUGUAGCGGUGAAAUGCGUAGAGAUUGGGAAGAACACCGGUGGCGAAAGCGCUCUGCUGGGCCGCAACUGACACUAAUGGACGAAAGCGUGGGGAGCAAACAGG
rnacentral:rRNA from 1 species